GCAAACUUUGUGUGAGAGUUAAUCUUGAUUAUCAACUUAACAUGAUCUCGAAUUAACAUGAAGCAAGCUUUGAAUUAUUUAGUUAACUGACCUGGGUAGAAGGCCAAGAAAACCCCUGAGCUUCUGGGACAUUCUCUCCUUUGGGGCAGGCCUCUAUCCUUACUAGUGAGAACGGAUUAGUAAGCGCACCACCAGAUUAGUCAACUGAUUUGGACAACAGAGAGACGUGCUCUUACUGUCUCCCACGGCUCCCCAGCAGGACUGUGUACCUUGCCUUGGUAUAUCUGUGCGGUAUGUGCAGCGCCACGGAGGAUUUUUGAUCACCCAGAACUGGAGUUACAGAGGAAUUUGGCCCGAUCCUCUGGAAGAGCAGUUAAGUGUUCUUAACUGCUGAGCCAUCUCUGCAAUCCAUGAAAGAUGGCAUGGUAUGGAGAGGAGAUGAAGAACAGCUUUUUACCGACCUCCUUAACAGAAUUUCACAAAGGAAGAAGUUACAGUACUGGACCCGCUGACCCAGAAUAGCUCUCAAAACUCAGAAUACCACUCAACCGCAAACAGAAGUUAGCAGUCUGUAUCCACUUGCUGGUUCCAUUUGUUUGGUUCAAGAUUGCUUUCAGCCUGGUGGUGGCUUUCUGCAAAUGACUGCCACAACACACAUCAACCACAAUACACAUCACAUAUACGUACAUGAUUCUGGG